rnacentral:tRNA from 3 species
AAUGGAAUGCUUGAUUAUAAGGUUAUCUUGAUGUGAUAAAAAAUGUAAAUAUUAUUACUUCCAUUA